GUCGACGCUCAUACUAGGUUGGGUACACCCGAUCUCGUUCGAUCUCGGAAUGUUAAGCAGCCUGAGGCCUCGUUAGUACUUGAAUGCGUGAGCGUCUGGGAAUACGAGGUGGUGUCGACUU
rnacentral:rRNA from 1 species